GACGGGGGGUCCUAGCGUUGUUCGGAAUCAUUGGGCGUAAAGCGUGCGCAGGCGGUGGCUCAAGCCAGGCGUGAAAUCCUCGGGCUUAACCUGGGAAUGGCGUUUGGGACUGGGUCGCUAGAGUGUGGCAGAGGGAGGUGGAAUUCCACGUGUAGCAGUGAAAUGCGUAGAGAUGUGGAGGAACACCGAUGGCGAAGGCAGCCUCCUGGGCCAGCACUGACGCUCAUGCACGAAAGCGUGGGGAGCAAACAGG
rnacentral:rRNA from 1 species